GAUGAACGCUGGCGGCGUGCCUAAUACAUGCAAGUCGAGCGCACAGACGCGGAGCUUGCUCCUCUGACGUUAGCGGCGGACGGGUGAGUAACCCGUGGAUAACCUCCCUAUCAGCCUGGGCUAACUUCGGGAAACCGGAGCUAAUACCGGAUCUUAUAUUGAACCGCCUGGUUCAAUAGUGAAAGACGGUUUUGCUGUCACUUCUACAUGGCUCCGCGCCGCAUUAGCUAGUUGGUAAGGUAACGGCUUACCAAGGCAACGAUGCGUAGCCGACCUGAGAGGGUGAUCGGCCACACUGGAACUGAGACACGGUCCAGACUCCUACGGGAGGCAGCAGUAGGGAAUCUUCCGCAAUGAGCGAAAGCCGGACGGAGCAACGCGGCGUGAGUGAGGAAGGUCUUCGGAUCGUAAAACUCUGUGAGUAGGGAAGAGCAAAGGGGUAAGUAACGAUGCACGUCUUGACGGUACCUAAUCAGAAAGCCACGGCUAACUACGUG
rnacentral:rRNA from 1 species